rnacentral:rRNA from 1 species
ACGGAGGAUGCGAGCGUUAUCCGGAUUUAUUGGGUUUAAAGGGUGCGUAGGUGGACUGUUUAGUCAGUGGUGAAAUGCUGAGGCUCAACGGUAGCAUUGCCGUUGAAACUGACAGUCUUGAGAGUGAUUGAGGCAGGCGGAAUGUGUGGUGUAGCGGUGAAAUGCUUAGAUAUCACGCAGAACUCCGAUUGCGAAGGCAGCGGGCCAAGCCACAACUGACACUGAAGCACGAAAGUGUGGGGAUCAAACAG